AGGUGCUGGAAAUAUGAGUUGCUUCAGCAGAGCUCUUUGUAUUCUGAUUCACUUAGCUUGUGUUUACAAUGAUAAGCUCAAAGGCUUUUUAAAAAGAGAACAAAUAUUCUAGAGAAUACUUCCUAGAGAACCUAAAAGACAUUGCAUAGGAACUCUACCAAAUUAAUUAAGGACAGCUACAGCUGCUGCAAUAAAUAGAGAUAUUCUAGAGAAUGAAGGAAGUGCAUUAAUUCCAACACUCCCCCUUAAUGGACUUUCUUCACAACUCCAAUGAGCUCUCUUAAAUAGCAAAACUUCUCUUGUGGAAGUGCCUUGGUGAGUAUGUCUGCCAACUGCUCCUCUGUCCUGCAGUAUUCAAGUGCAACUUCACCUUUCUCAAUUGACUCUCGAAUGAAAUGGUACUUGAUGGCAAUGUGCUUUGUACGAUCAUGACUCACUGGAUUUUUCCCAAUGGCAAUGGCAGAUUUGUUGUCACAAUAUAAUUUGGUGCCACCUUCUUGCUUUUCGCCAAUGUCUUCAAGUAUCCUUCUAAGCCAUACAGCUUGUGAUGCUGCCUUAGCUGCUGCAAUGUACUCUGCUUCAGCAGUAGAUUGUGCCACCACAUUUUGCUUCUUUGAUGCCCAUGAACAUAUGCCGGAACCAAGUGAAAAAACAUAGGCCGACGUGCUCUUCAUAUCGUCAAGACAUCCUGCCCAAUCACUGUCUGUGUAACCAAUAAGCCUUGAUUUUUCUACUGCUGUAAACAAAAUUCCAUAAUCAAGUGUGCCUUGCAAGUAUCUCAACACCCUUUUUGCAGCUCUAAAAUGAAUCUGACUUGGCUCUUGCAUAUAACGUGAAAGUAAACUUGCAGCAAACAUAAUAUCUGGUCUAGUUGCCGUAAGAUACAAAAAACUACCAACCAAACUUCUGUACUUCUUAGCAUCCGCCUUCUUUGCACCAUCAAACUUCCUCAUUUUCUCAUUUGCUAUCAAAGGAGUAGCCACUGAUUUGCAGCCCAGCAAAUUGAACUUCUUGAGAAUAUUUUCAGCAUAUUUCUUUUGAGAAAUGAAGAUCCCAUUUUCAGUUUGAGAAACUUCAAUUCCCAAAAAAUAAUGAAGUAAUCCCAGAUCACUCAUCUCGUAGGUGCUCAUCAUAUCCUUCUUGAACUGUUGGAUCAAGUGUUCAUCAUUGCCCGUAAAGAUCAAAUCAUCAACAUACAGUGAAACAAUAAGAAUAGAAGCUCCCUUCUUUAGGAUGUAAAGUGUGGGCUCACUUUGGCUCUUUUGAAAACCACUAUGUGAAAAAUACUUAUCAAUUUCAGCAUACCAAGUCCGGGGCGCCUGCUUUAGCCCAUAAAGAGCCUUUUUCAACUUGUAAACUUUGUCUUCUCCCCCCUCAACAAGAAAACCUUGGGGUUGCUCAACAUAAACCUCUUCUUCGAGCACUCCAUUCAAGAAUGCUGACUUCACAUCAAGCUGAUAAAUCAACCAAUUCUUUUGAGCAGCAAGAGCAAUCAAAGUUCUAAUUGUUUCAAGUCUUGCGACAGGAGCAAAAAUUUCAAAAAAAUCAAUACCUGGCUUUUGAGUAAAACCUCUAGCCACGAGCCUUGCUUUGUGCUUUUGAAUGCUUCCAUCUUGAUUAAACUUUGUCUUGAAAAUCCAUUUGACUCCAAUCACAUCUCUGUCUUUUGGAAGAUCCACAAGCUCCCAAGUUUGAUUUUUCUCGAUCAUUCUUAUCUCAUCCUUCAUUGCUUUCACCCAUACUUCAUGCUCUCUGGUUCUAUACCAGAAAAGUUGCAAGUCUCAUAAAUAUCAUUCAAGCUUCUAGUUCUUAGUGGAGGACUUUCUGAUGAAGAAUAAUUUGGGGAAACAGGUUCAGCGUUUGAAUUGUUUCCGGCAGCUGCUGGUGUUUGAGGAGUGGCUUCUUCUUCUUGAUGCUCUCCUAGAAUCUCCCUUUGCUCUUGCACUAAAGCAUAUGGCAUUUCCUGCACUUUAUUUUCAUUCCAAUCCCAUCUUGCUUUUUCAUUAAAAACAACAUCUCUACUCACAAUUAACUUCUUAGUUUCAACAUUAUAAAGUCUGUAGCCUUUGGUGCUGGAACUGUAUCCAACAAAGAUGCAUUUCUGGCUUUUAUCAUCAAAUUUAGUUCUCUUUUCAGCAGGAAUAUGAGCAUAACAGAUACAACCAAAGAUUUUGAGAUGUCUUACCGAAGGCUUGAAACCACUCCAAGCUUCAAAUGGAGUCUUGUUCUUGACAACUUUAGUUGGACUUCUGUUGAGAAUAUACACUGCUGUAAAUACAGCUUCUGCCCAAAAACGUUUGGGUAGUCCUUUCUCAUUCAUCAUUGAAGUAGCCAUCUCAACAAUUGUUCGAUUUUUUCUCUCUGCGAUCCCAUUUUGUUGGGGACUAUAGCUUGCUGUCAAUUGCUUCCAAAUUCCUUCAUCUUUGCAAUAAUCUUCAAAUUCUUGAGAGGUAUACUCACCUCCUCUGUCACUUCGCAUAACUUUAAUGGUGCUGCCACUUUGCUUCUCCACUAAUGCUUUGAAUCUUUUGAACACAACAAAAGUUUCUGAUUUUUCCUUCAAAAAAUAAACCCAAGUCAUCCUCGAAAAGUCGUCAAUAAAGGUGAGGAAAUACCUGUAUUGACUUAAAGAUGGAGUUUGCAUUUUGCCACAGAUAUCAGUGUGUAUAAGUUCUAGUGGUGCUUUUGCUCGCCACGUGCUUUGUCGAGGAAAAGAAUUACGGUGUUGCUUGCCCAUAAUGCACCCUUCACAUACAUCUGUUGUUUCUUUAAUUUCCGGCAGCCCGUUCACCAUACUAUUCUUCUGGAGUAGCUUCAGCCCCUGGAAGUUUAGAUGACAAAAUCUCUUGUGCCAUAACCAAGAGUCCUGCACAACAUCAGCUUUCAUGGCAGCAACUUCAGCAUAUUGAAAUUCAAUGGGGAAAUUUCUAUUCCUCUCCAUUUUCACCUUUGCAAUCACCAUCUCAACUGCAUUUUUAUCAUAAAUGAUGCAUGCACCAUCUUGAAAAACAAGACGAUAGCCAUUCUCCACAAGUUGUCCAACACUAAGCAAAUUUUGACUUAGUUUUGGAACAAGCAAGACAUCAUGAAUCUGCUUCACCCCCUUCUUAGUUUUGACAGCAAUUCUUCCUUUUCCUUUUGCCUCCACAAUAGCACCAUUACCCAUUUUGAUAUUUGGAGUAGCUGAAGUAUCCACAUCAAGAAAAAUAUUUUCAUUUCCUGACAUGUGGUUGCUGCAUCCACUGUCAAGAUACCAGAUGCUUUCUUUUUCCUCAAGGGCAGAUAAACAAGUAGAGAACAAGUUUUCAUUUCCAUCAUCAUCAUUCUUACUUUCAGAAAAAUUUGCUUGGUUUGCUUUCUUGAAUCUGCAGUUCUUCUCAACGUGCCCAAAUUUGUUGCAAUGAUGGCACUUUGGUUUUCCACGGUUCCAACAAUUUGAUGUAUCAUGAUUUGUUUUGUUACAAAUCCUGCAGGAAGGCUGAUUAUCUUCAGAAUUCGUACUUUUCCCAUUCUUGGAUUCAUCUCUUUUGCUGGAUUCUCCUUUCUUCCACCUUCUUUGCUCCCCCGUUUGCUGGUCAUCUCUAGAAUUGCCUUUCUUGGAGGACUUUUGAGAUUUGAAACUUAGUUUUGAUUGGAAAGCACUCUCAACAGAUUGAUUAUUUCGUGUCAACCUUCUCUGCUCGUGAGACUUUAAAGAACCCAUCAAUUGUUCAAUUGAUAAGGUGGUGAUGUCCUUGCACUCUUCAAUAGCAGCAACAAUGGGAUCAUAUUUUUCAGGCAAGCUGAUCAAUAUUUUUUCAACAACCCUCUGGUCAGAGAUCUCCUCACCAAGUGUUCUCAUUUGAUUCACAACUUCAGCUAGUCUGGAGGCAUAAUCUUGGAUGCAUUCAGAUUCUUUCAUCUUCAUAUUAUAGAACUCCCUGCGCAAAGUCUGUAGCUUGAUUGUUAUGGCCUUGCUGUCACCUUGAAACUCCUUUUCUAAUGUAUCCCAGGCUUCUUUUGCUGUUUUAGCUCUUGUAAUUCUUGGAAAAAUGUCUGAAGUGACUCCGUUCUGAAUCUUGGAGAGAGCCUUGGCAUCUUUCAUGACUUCUGCUUCGAACUUCUCUAUUUCUGCUGCUGGAAGCUGACUUAGAUCCUCUGGUUCUUGAAGCCCUCUUUCAACGAAGCUCCAAAGACCUUCUGACAACAGUAUAGUUCUCAUCUUCACCUUCCAGAAAUCAUAAUUUCCACCUCCAAAGAUUGGGAGAAUAGAGUAGGAAACUGAUGGACCUUCUUUGGCUCCUGAUGACAUCUUCUAGAAUUGAUUUCAACGCCCAGAUAUGAUCGAACGCUGCUCUGAUACCAGUUGUUGGUUUUGUGAUGGAAUAUGAGGUGCUGGAAAUAUGAGUUGCUUCAGCAGAGCUCUUUGUAUUCUGAUUCACUUAGCUUGUGUUUACAAUGAUAAGCUCAAAGGCUUUUUAAAAAGAGAACAAAUAUUCUAGAGAAUACUUCCUAGAGAACCUAAAAGACAUUGCAUAGGAACUCUACCAAAUUAAUUAAGGACAGCUACAGCUGCUGCAAUAAAUAGAGAUAUUCUAGAGAAUGAAGGAAGUGCAUUAAUUCCAACAACUGGACCCCCUCACUCUAAUCCGAGCACAUAAAUAUCCCACAAUCCAAUCAUGGCAUAAAUAUGCUACAAUCGGGACUCUUCAACUAUCACCGAAGGAACCAA
rnacentral:lncRNA from 1 species